AAAGGGGGGCAAACAAAGCCCUAGUUGCUCUCUCCUUUUCCCCACCAACAGCGGCACUUUGCUACCUUUUCUUUCCUCCAACAGCAGCCCUAGCUGCUGUCCUUUUUUGGGCAGCACCGCCGGAGCUAGCUGAGGUGGCCAACGACGACGGGAAAAUAACCCUAGUUGCUGUCCUCAUUUCCAGCAGCCACACAAACUCCUUAGAAGAUACGAGCUCGAAUGGAGCACGGUGACCUACCGACACUCGAAGAUUUUGCUGUACAUAAGGGGAGAUGUUGCCGAAUUUUAUCUGACAGGGACUCUUCUGGGGGCGUGACAAAACCAGUACCAAUGUGAUGGUUUACAUGAAUAUGUAUAUUUUUCUAAAGAGCAAAACGUUCAUUGAAUUCAGAAGCAAUAUUUCACUGCUGUUAUACACACAAUGAUACACAGAGGCGAAGUAGUGGUACCUAACAAGCUUUGUAGGCAUGACUCAAUUUUGUCUCAACUCUCAAU